CUGGCCCUAAAUCAAGGCCACUGGUUUGCUGUAGCCAUUGGUUUCAAACAGGAGCCCAGAGGAAAACGUCUCCCGGUCUGUCGGCGCUCCCGUCCCGUGGAGCAGCCGGUUCGUGUGGGAGGGACAAAG